rnacentral:rRNA from 1 species
AUUCCUACGGGAGGCAGCAGUGGGGAAUAUUGCACAAUGGGGGAAACCCUGAUGCAGCGACGCCGCGUGAGUGAAGAAGUAUUUCGGUACGUAAAGCUCUAUCAGCAGGGAAGAAAAUGACGGUACCUGACUAAGAAGCCCCGGCUAACUACGUGCCAGCAGCCGCGGUAAUACGUAGGGGGCAAGCGUUAUCCGGAUUUACUGGGUGUAAAGGGAGCGUAGACGGCAGCGCAAGUCUGGAGUGAAAUGCCGGGGCCCAACCCCGGGACUGCUCUUGGAACUGCGUGGCUGGAGUGCAGGAGGGG